rnacentral:lncRNA from 1 species
CGCAGAGUAAGUGCGGCCGCGAGGGGCGGGACGCGGGCGAAGUGGGCGGGGUCAGAGGCGUAGCCUAGGUGGGCGGGGCCGUGGCGGGGCGAGGGGCGGGACUGGACCUGGUAGAGGACCGGGUGUACCGAGCCGAGGUCGGCGCGGGUGCAAGGGAGGGUCUGGACCUCCCGAGCGAGGAGCGGGGCAAGGGUGGGUGAGCUCUAGGCACUGGUCUGAUGCCUCUGAACCUGCCCGGAGCCUGAGGGCACCCGCCCGCGUCUCUACUCACGUGACGUUGGACUCAGUGACCUCGCUCCCUGGAGGCUUGGAGGUGCCCUAAGUGAUCUUUUGUAUAAAAAGAAGAGAAAAUGCCACACUGUAAAUUAUAUGAGGUUCACCAGGGACCAGAAAGCAACGAGAUCAUCAUCAUAAUAGUUAUCAUGCACAGGUAAUAUAUCUUAAUUAGACACAAGGCAAGAAAAUAUAAGGGAAGGUAAAGUCAUUAAAAUUUUUUACAUAUUACUUUUCUAGGGCUGCCAUAACAGAAUACCAUAAACUCAACACAAAUUUAUUGUCUGAGAGUUCUGGAGCCUGGAAAUCGGAGAUCAAGGUGUCAGCAGAGUUGGUUUCUGGUGAGCCUGUCUUCCUGGCUUGUAGAUAGCUCCCUUCCCACUGGGUCCUCACAUGGCCCUUCCUCUGUGUGCAGAGAGAGUUCUCUGGUGUCUCUUCUUCUUAUAGGACACCUAUUGGAUUAGGGCCCUACCCUUAUGACCUCCUACUUCCAAAUAUAGUCACGUUGGGGGUUAGGGCUUCAAUAUAUGAAUUUUGCAGGGGAUCCAAUCAGUUUAUAACACUCUGGUUUUGAUUGCAUUUUCUAAUAAAGAUCCAGCUGCCUUGGGCUCAGGGAACUGACUGUCUGAGAGAGCUGGCUUCUGGCUUUGGAUCAGGUCCUUCACUGGGGAAGACCUCCUGACCCUGACCACCUCUUUAUGGCAGAUUCCUAAAAAGUGAUGUGUCUUGCUUCACGCUCUUAGUCACCAAGUGCCCAUUGGAGAGAGCCUCUUCUUCCUUUGCCCCGUUGGCCAUGAGUAGUUAGGUAUCAGUUAUCAAUCCUCAUGGCUUCCUUCCCCCACUUCCUGCAGACCCUCUCAGGGCAUUGCCAUGCCUGGCUUAUUUCUCUUCGCUGCUUGCAUUAAAUACACAUUCUGACCAGAGGGCUCCAUGCUGAGCUUUAACACCAGCCCUAUGUUCAUGAGACAUGUCUGGUCACAAGUGAAGCUGGAGGAGUACAAG